AUGUCAGUGACGUCAAAUGUGUAAAAUUCAAGGCUGGUCCUUAAAAGCUCCCAACAAGGCAAAAACUGCAAAGCCACACAAGUCCCAGCGUCAGCAGCAGCUGUGAAAAGAAAGUGGAGAAAGGAUGAAUGAGUCUGUGCUUAUCGGCUAUCGGCUCUCUGCUCUCCCCCAAGCUGGCGUUGUUGUUGGUAGCCAUGACAACGGAGAUAGUCCCAGCUUUCUAAAUAAAGGCCCCAACACCCCAAAAAAGAAAAAAAAAAAGAAAGAAAAAAAACUCGGGAUUCCCUGCGCAGACCAGGAAUCCCGCUAGCAGGCCGAAGCUACAGAGAUGAUUUUGACCGAGCGAGACUCGAACCACCGACUGUCUGUGCUUCAACCUGCCAGGGGCCAGCGACAAGUGCUCUGCGCCACCUGCCGGGCCGUGGAAUUCGUGCAAAUUUGAUAUAUUUGACUUCUCUGAAGACAAAUUAUUUUUGAAAAGGAAAAAUAAUAAUUUUAAUGUGAGGCAAAACAUGUAUGGUGCUCGGUAAAGAUGACACGCCGACUCACUUCUUCUUUUUUUGUUUUUGUUUUUUUGUUUGAGAAAGUUUGUUUUCAUAUUAAACCAGUGUCAGUGACGUCAUUCUAUGCGACUACCACAGGUGAAGGUGCUGCCCACCCAUGAUGCCAGCAAGGUGCGUGCAAGUGGAUCCGGCCUUAAAACCACUGGAGUGCCCAGCUCUCUGCCAGUGAAGUUCAACAUUGAUGGCAAAGAUGCAGGCGAGGGACUGCUGGCAGUGUAGAUCGCUGACCCAGACGGGAAGCCCAAGAAGCAAAUAUCUGUGACAACCAUGAUGGGACCUACCUGGUGUCUUAUGUACCAGACAUGACUGACAGGUACACCACACUCAUUAAGUACGGAGGAGACGAGAUCCCUUAUUCACCCUACUGAAUCAGGGCUCUGCCCACCCGAGAUGCCAGCAAGUGCACUGUCAUUGAAUGUUGUCCAGUGGCCAGCUGCUCAGUCCAUCCAGACUCCUCUCCAUAUGCAACAGUGAUGCCGGCUCUCUCCAAGUGAUUCCUUCAUCAUCAACAUCUGCGUCCACGAUCCACCAGCUCAACAGCAACAUCUGUCAGCUGUGCAUCCAACUGGAGGCCUUCGCCUGCUGUGCUGAGGCGCUGGGCCGCGAUUUCCGUCCCUUGUUGACGACCUGGCUGUAUCCUGUGCUGGAGAAAGCUGGUGAGGAGACGCUGCUGGUCAGCCAGGCGGCGCUGAGCUCCAUAUGGAACAUCAAUAAGGUCUGUGGAUACGCUUCCCUCAAGGAACUGAUCAAUGAGAACUCUGACUACCUGCUUAAUGACAUAUCACUCAACCGUCAGAGGCUCAGCCAGCAUCCACAGGUAGUUAUGACGUGUUUUUUGUUUUUAACCCAAAAUGGACACAGAAAUAACUGCUGGAGGGUUUACCCGAUUUCCUCCUUGAUCUGCUUAAGCCUGUGCUGCCCUGAGCUUGUACUGUAUUUCAUUAUAAUCCUGUCUUGUUGGCCAGGCUCCACGGGUGUUGACAGUUCUGUUGACUCACUCUGACUGCAGCCUGCUGGUCGGGGACAUCGUUCAGGAUCAAUAAAUUGUUUCUUGCAUUUUUGAUUUAAUGAUUGUGUUUAGGAUUAUUUCAGAAACAUGUUUAGAGGAUCUUUGUAAGCCUGUAUUUGCUUUAAAAGAAGGGAAGCACUUCUUCAUUCUACAGAAAAGGUGACACAUUACAGAUGAGUUCAUAAAAAGUGUCUCUGUCACUCUUUCAAGGCUCUGUCACUUUUUCUUUUUUACUGGAACAGCAUGGUAAAGUAGGCCUAGGCUGCCAUCUUGUGGCAGUGUGUUGUUACUACAACAUAUGAAAUUGUGUUUCUAUUGGAAAUCUAAUUCAGCGCCACCGAGCCGCUCUCUCAGUUACAAACUGAACCUGUUUUUUUAGACAUAUAAAUCACUAAGCACAGUGAAGCUUUUGGUUUUGUCAAAGUGUUUCUUAUUCAAAAUGCAUGUUGAUUUUUAUAAGGUUGAAGAGCAGUUAGCAGUGCAUUGAUGGACAUCUUUAAACUAUUAAUUGAAGAAUCUUUGGUCAUGAACUAGAAACGUGAGCUCCAGUCCCAUGGAGGCUAAGAUUGGCACUGAGGCUGGCCAGCAGAAGGUGAGGGCCUGGGGUCCUGGACUGGAAGGAGGCGUUGUUGGUAAAUCUGCUGACUUUGUGGUGGAGGCUGUUGGAGACAAUGUUUCUCUCAGACCAAGAUUGAAUGUGAUGACAAGGGUGAUGGAUGGUGUGACAUGCGCUGCGGGCCCACAGAACCAGAAUAGUUUUCUCUAGGGUUAAGGCGUACGGUCCAGGCCUUCAGAGCAGUGGUCUGGCUGUUGGAAAACCCACUGAAUUCACAGUUGAUGCCAAGCAAGGAGGAAAAGCUCCUCUGAAAAUUAUAGCCCAGGAUGGUGAAGUCAAUUCUGUGGAUGUCCAGGUUAAGGAUAAUGGCAACAGCACAUACACCUGCACCUACACCCCACGUAAGCCUGUGAAGCAGACUGUGAUGGUCUCCUGGGGAGACUGAGAGUCCAUUCAGGAUGAAUAUCGGAGCAGGCUGUCAUCCAAACAAGGUGAAGGUCUCCGACCCUGGGAAACAUAUUACAGGGAAACUUAUUCAACCCACCUGCUGUUUGAGGCUAAAAAUGACUGUAGAGCAUUACCUGCAAAGGUAACAUGCUAACACAGCCUUUGUCCUC